UACGUAGGGUGCGAGCGUUAAUCGGAAUUACUAGGGCGUAAACGUGCGCAGGCGGUUAUGUAAGACAGUUGUGAAAUCCCGGGCUCAACCUGGGAAUUGACAUCUGUGACUGCAUAGCUAGAGUACGGUGAGAGGGGGAUGGAAUUCCGCGUGUAGGCAGUGAAAUGCGUAGAUAGUGCGGAGGAACACCGAUGGCGAAGGCAAUCCCCUGG
rnacentral:rRNA from 1 species